GGGUGAGUAACACGUGGAUAACCUGCCCUCGGCACCGGAAUAGCCCGAGGAAACUCGGAUUAAUGCCGGAUAGCCCCACAUCCCUGCGGGGAACGUGGGAAAGGGUAGCUUCGGCCUCUGGCCGGGGAUGGGUCCGCGGUGGAUUAGCUUGUUGGCGGGGUAACGGCCCACCAAGGCGACGAUCCAUAGCUGGUCUGAGAGGAUGAUCAGCCACACUGGGACUGAGACACGGCCCAGACUCCUACGGGAGGCAGCAGUGGGGAAUCUUGCGCAAUGGGCGAAGGCCUGACGCAGCGACGCCGCGUGCGGGAAGAAGGCCUUAGGGUUGUAAACCGCUUUCAGGAGGGACGAAGCCACUCGGGUUAAUAGCCCAGAGGGUGACGGUACCUCCAGAAGAAGCCCCGGCUAACUACGUGCCAGCAGCCGCGGUAAUACGUAGGGGGCAAGCGUUGUCCGGAUUUAUUGGGCGUAAAGAGCGUGUAGGCGGUCAGGUAGGUCGGUUGUGAAAACUGGAGGCUCAACCUUCAGAGGUCGACCGAAACCCCCUGGCUAGAGUCCGGGAGAGGAGAGUGGAAUUCCUGGUGUAGCGGUGAAAUGCGCAGAUAUCAGGAAGAACACCCGUGGCGAAAGCG
rnacentral:rRNA from 1 species